UACGUAGGGGGCUAGCGUUGUCCGGAAUCAUUGGGCGUAAAGCGCGCGUAGGCGGCCCGGUAAGUCCGUUGUGAAAGUCAAAGGCUCAACCUUUGAAAGCCGAUGGAUACUGCCGGGCUGGAGUCCGGAAGAGGCGAGUGGAAUUCCUGGUGUAGCGGUGGAAUGCGCAGAUAUCAGGAGGAACACCGAUGGCGAAGGCAGCUCGCUGGGACGGUACUGACGCUGAGGCGCGAAAGCGUGGGGAGCGAACAGG
rnacentral:rRNA from 1 species